UAGAGUCCGGCUACUAUCCUAUAAUAGGAUUGGGACUAAUGUCCUAUCAAGUCGUUUUCAAUGAUCGACACUCCAAAUUGAUAAUCGGCAUCGUUGAAAUUGAUCUACACUAUAAGAAAUAUUUAAAAACCAAAUUUUCUAAUUUUUGAAAAUCAUUAUCAAGUCUAUCGAAGAGUCGAAAUAAUGAACGGUCAUAAAUGAAUAACCUUCUUAAAAUAGAGGUUAGACUUUCUCAAAUCAUGAUCAGAGUUAUCAAAUAUUAUCUAAAUAGUAUAAAAAAUUUUCUGUCAAAAAUUCAAGCAGUUUGGAUUACUCUAUACCGUUAAACAAGCAAACAGCUCAUAUAGGCCGUCAAAAAUUGUCGAUUUUACGAUCCUUUGAUCACCAUGUAAACGAUCUUUAAAAUUUCUAAAAUUUAGUUUCUAAAUACUUCAAAUACUCUAGAUCAACUUUAAUGGUUCCGAUCAUCGAUUCGGCAUCUCUAUCAUCGAGAACGACUUGAUAAGACGAUGAUCUCUAUCCUAUUAAUAGGAUAGUAGCUGAAUUCCAAUAUAUAUGUUCUGACAAUAAUAUAUACUGUUUUUACAAUAUUAAUUUUUCUGUGUUUAAUAUAAAAACUUUAAUUAUAGAAUAGAAACACACAAAUUGUUUUUUUUAUUUUGAGAAAUAGGUAGCAAGCUAACUGCUUCAUUUAUUAGAAAAAUGAACUAGACUUACAAAAUGGAAGCAGCCAGGACUUCCGAAAGGAAAAAAAAAAAGGAAAAUGUGGACAAAAAGAACAAAAAUAAAAUAAUAAAAGACAACAACGAAACAAGUAAGCAAAGAACAAAACAAAAAAAAGUAGGAAACGGCGAAAAGGCCGAAAAAGGAGACGAGGCAGUCAGAAGCACGUAUUCUAGGCUGACGUCAGGAGUCUAACGCGAUCAAGGGCAGGGAGGGUUGGAGAGCUUCGCUCGGAAAAGAAUAUCGCUCCUCUCAGUCCAAACGACUCACCAAAUAGCUGUCAGUAAAGUUAAGGCUUCUAAUCUCCUCUGGGCAUCUAGUAAACUGAAGAGUCUUGUCCACAGAUCUUUCGCCUCCUCCGAGGGUGUUAUCAAGUCUUCUGGACCUUCCACGCAAAAGAGUAGAUAUAGAACGAACAUGCAGGAGGUCAUAAGGUGAUCGCAGCUUU
rnacentral:lncRNA from 1 species